rnacentral:rRNA from 1 species
GUCCUGCCAGUAGUCAUAUGCUUGUCUCAAAGACUAAGCCAUGCAUGUCUCAGUACAGGCCUACCCAAGGCGAAACCGCGAAUGGCUCAUUAAAUCAGCCCUGAUUUAUUUGAUGUUGUAAAACCUUUACAUGGAUAACUGUGGCAAUUCUAGAGCUAAUACGUGCACCCGAGCUCCGACCCUGCCGUCAAAGGCGGGGGAAGGGCGCUUUUAUUAGACCAAAAACCGAUCGGACUUCGGUCCGUCUCCCAAAACGUUUUGUGAUGAAUCUGGAUAACUUAGCCGAGCGCUGAGGUCUUAGUACCGGCGCCGUAUCUUUCAAGUGUCUGCCUUAUCAGCUGUCGACUGUAGGCCAUACGCCUACAAUGGCUGUAACGGGUAACGGGGAAUCAGGGUUCGAUUCCGGAGAGGGAGCCUGAGAAACGGCUACCACAUCUAAGGAAGGCAGCAGGCACGCAAAUUACCCACUCCCGGCUCGGGGAGGUAGUGACGUAAAAUAACGAUGCGGGACUCUUCCGAGGCCUCGCAAUCGGAAGAGUUUACUCUAAAUCCUUGGACGAGGAUCCAUUGGAGGGCAAGUCUGGUGCCAGCAGCCGCGGUAAUUCCAGCUCCAAUAGCGUAUAUUAAAAUUGCUGCGGUUAAAAAGCUCGUAGUUGGAAUUCUGAUUCGGACCGGCAACCCAUCCAAGGCGCGCCCUCGUUACUUGCGAGCGGUAUCCCUGGGCUCUUUUCGUCCCCGUCGUCUCGGCCUCGGUCCUACGUUUUAAAGCCAUCGCCCCCAAGUUCGACCGUCGGUUACCGUUCUCUCCGAGGCGCUCGUCGUCUUCGUUGGUUCGGUGCCGGCGACCAUCGACAAGGGCGUUCGGUGAGUGGGUCUGGGCGUCGAACGUGCGGGGGUUAAACAAGCGGAUUGACGCUUUUCAGGGUCCGUUCCAGGCGGGUAAGCGCGCCCGGUGGUUCACUGUCCGGCUCCGAAUUACAAAAGCCGUCGGCUCUCACGAGGUGCUCUUUACCGAGUGUCCCGCGUGGCCGGCAAGUUUACUUUGAAAAAAUUAGGGUGCUUAGAGCAGGCAAUAACCUACGCCUGAAUGGUAGUGCAUGGAAUAAUGGAAAACGACCUCGGUUCUGUCAUUUGUAUCGGUUUUCUGAACCCGAGGUAAUGAUUAACGGAAACAGACGGGGGCAUUAGUAUUGCGACGCUAGAGGUGAAAUUCUUGGACCGUCGCAAGACUAGCUACUGCGAAGGCAUUUGCCUAGAAUGCUUUCAUUAAUCAAGAACGAAAGUUAGAGGAUCGAAGGCGAUCAGAUACCGCCCUAGUUCUAACCUUAAACGAUGCUAACUAGCGAUCUGUCGGAAGUCAUUCCCACGACUCGACAGGCAGCUUCCGGGAAACCAAAGUCUUUGAGUUCCGGGGGAAGUAUGGUUGCAAAGCUGAAACUUAAAGGAAUUGACGGAAGGGCACCACCAGGAGUGGAGCCUGCGGCUUAAUUUGACUCAACACGGGGAACCUCACCAGACCCGGACACCGGAAGGAUUGACAGAUUGAGAGCUCUUUCUCGAUUCGGGUGGGUGGUGGUGCAUGGCCGUUCUUAGUUGGUGGAGUGAUUUGUCUGGUUGAUUCCGAUAACGAACGAGAUUCUUUUCUGCUAACUAGUCGGCGAAUCGUCUCCCAAGAAGGGUCCUUCCCGGUUGGUAUCGGCGUCGAAUUCUUCGCCGCCCCCGUCGCUUAGCGUGGAGGUCGUUUUCUCAGCUUUACACCCACUCUUUUUCGUCGGUCGGUCAGCAGUAGGAGGGGUGGCCGCUGCAAAGCGGCUUCUUACCUCCGUUCUGCUGUUUCGGCCGGCGUUGGGGGCCCGGGUGUGGGCGAGGGGCGUCUUCGCGUGGCGGCGGCGGGAUCAGGUGACGGGGAAGCGUCNUACCUCCGCGCGUUGGUCCCAGCGAGGGGCGUUCGUCGCAACAUCUUCUUAGAGGGAUCGGCAGCGUCUAGCUGCAUGAGAUGGAGCAAUAACAGGUCUGUGAUGCCCUUAGAUGUUCUGGGCCGCACGCGCGCUACAAUGAAGGGAUCAGCGUGCUUUCCCCCUCCGAAAGGAGCGGGUAACCCGUUGAAACCCCUUCCCGAUUGGGAUUGGGGAUUGUAAGUGUUUCCCAUGAACGAGGAAUUCCUAGUAAGCGCAAGUCAUUAGCUUGCGAUGAUUACGUCCCUGCCCUUUGUACACACCGCCCGUCGCUACUACCGAUUGAAUGAUUCAGUGAGGGCAUCGGACUGGCGCCCUCGGUAGCCUUCGGCUCGCGAUAACGCCUCGCUUCGGCGUGGCUUAGAGCGUCCGCGGGCACCCCGGGCCGACGGAAAGA